AUUGAACGCUGGCGGCAGGCCUAACACAUGCAAGUCGAGCGAGCGGCGGACGGGUGAGUAAUGUAUAGGGGAUGCCCGAGAGCGGGGGAUAACUACUGGAGACGGUAGCUAAUAACGCAUAGUAUCGGAGACCCCAUAUGGGAUUAGCUAGUAGGUGAGGUAAUGGCUCACAUAGGCGACGAUCCCUAGCUGGUCUGAGAGGAUGAUCAGCCACAUUGGGACUGAGACACGGUCCAGACUCCUACGGAGGCAGCAUUGGGGAAUAUUGCACAAUGGGCGCAAGCCUGAUGCAGCCAUGCCGCGUGUAUGAAGAAGGCCCUAGGGUUGUAAAGUACUUUCAGUCGGGAGGCGUUACCGACAGAAGAAGCACCGGCUAACUCCGUGCCAGCAGCCGCGGUAAUAC
rnacentral:rRNA from 1 species